GGAAGUAAAAGUCGUAACAAGGAUCAUUACCACACCUAAAAAACUUUCCACGUGAACCGUUUCAACCCAAUAGUUGGGGGUCUUAUUUGGCGGCGGCUGCUGGCUUAAUUGUUGGCGGCUGCUGCUGAGUGAGCCCUAUCAAAAAAAAGGCGAACGUUUGGGCUUCGGCCUGAUUUAGUAGUCUUUUUUUGUUUUAAACCCAUUCCUUAAUACUGAAUAUACUGUGGGGACAAAAGUCUCUGCUUUUAACUAGAUAGCAACUUUCAGCAGUGGAUGUCUAGGCUCGCACAUCGAUGAAAAACGCUGCGAACUGCGAUACGUAAUGCGAAUUGCAGGAUUCAGUGAGUCAUCGAAAUUUUGAACGCAUAUUGCACUUCCGGGUUAGUCCUGGAAGUAUGCCUGUAUCAGAGUCCGCACAUUAAACUUGACUUUCUUCCUUUCGCGUAGUCGGGGGAGGAGAUGUCAGAUGUGAAGUGUCUUGCGAUUGGUCUUCGGACCGGCUGCGAGUCCUUUUAAAUGUACUAAACUGAACUUCUCUUUGCUCUAAAAGCGGUGGCGUUGCUGGUUGUGAAGGCUGCUAUUGUGGCAAAUUGGCGACUGGUUUGUCUGCUGCGGCGUUAAUGGAAGAGAGUUCGAUUCGUGGUAUGGUUGGCUUCGGCUGAACAAUGCACUUAUUGGACGCUUUUCCUGCUGUGGGGUGAUGGACUGGGGAACCAUACUCGGGGGCUUGGCUUUUGAAUUGGCUUUGCUGUUGCGAAAAAGGUGGCAGCUUCGUUUGUCGAGGGUCGAUCCAUUUGGGAACCUAAUGUGUGCUUCGGAUGCAUCUCAAAUGGGGCCCGGUAUCAGGCAAGAAUACCCCUGACUUA
rnacentral:rRNA from 1 species